CGAAAGCCUGACGGAGCAACGCCGCGUGAGGGAUGAAGGCCUCUGGGCUGUAAACCUCUUUUCUCAAGGAAGAAGAUCUGACGGUACUUGAGGAAUAAGCCACGGCUAAUUCCGUGCCAGCAGCCGCGGUAAUACGGGAGUGGCAAGCGUUAUCCGGAAUUAUUGGGCGUAAAGCGUCCGCAGGCGGCCUUGUAAGUCUGUUGUUAAAGCGUGGAGCUUAACUCCAUUUAAGCAAUGGAAACUACAAGGCUUGAGUGUGGUAGGGGCAGAGGGAACUCCCGGUGUAGCGGUGAAAUGCGUAGAUAUCGGGAAGAACACCAGUGGCGAAGGCGCUCUGCUGGGCCAUAACUGACGCUCAUGGACGAAAGCCAGGGGAGCG
rnacentral:rRNA from 1 species